GUUAUCCUUGUGGUCAACCAGCGUGUUUUUCUUUUCUCGCAGAGCACUGCGUUGUGUUUGCACAGAGUUUCAAAUGAAGAAAAAAGUUCAUAAACUGAAAGAUCCACAGACACCAGUAACAGUGGGUAGUGUCCCUGUCUCUGGUUUGCUGGAUUUGAGUUCCAGUCCAGGACAUGACAGCUGUGGGAGGUGUGCUUCUACUAUGGCAGGAAUAUAGUCCUAAUGGAUCCAGUCUGUCUUCAUACGUCAGUCCUGCCAUCCCAAGAAUCAAUCUGGGAAACCUUUGUUGCAGUCCCUCCAUCACCAGAACUUCCUU